UUACAAAUAGAAGAUAUGAGAAUAUAUUUUCAAUCAAUUCUGAAUAAUAAAUUUCAGUAUUAUUUUCUACUUGGUAUCAAUAGCUUCUGAUCUUGGAACUCCGUUCUGCUGCACAGUCGCACCGCCGUCGCUGUCUGACCACCGCUGCUAUCGCCAUCACCGAUUGGGGUCGUUGAUAGGGCAGAAAGGUGUGCCUAACUCCAGCGACCAUAAACGCCUUUGCACAGUCGCCGCCGUCGCUGUCCGACCACCGCCACCGCCACCGUUGCCGGUUGGGGUCAUUGAUAGGGCAGAAAGGUGCGCCCAACUCCGACGACCACAACGCCGGAAGUCGCUCAGUGAGAGGAGCCUCCAUGCGCCGCCACGCGCCUCCGCCACGCGCCUCCACCGUCGCCGGCACGUGUAGCCCAUGCGCCCACCUUUGGCGAGACCUACUCGCCGCCGCCGCCACAGAAAGGGUCGCCGGGAACUCCUGAGUCUGUUCCUAGGGUCCCGUUUUGCCUAUAUUUGAGUAGAUAUGAGUUUUAAGGUUUGACCCAUACACUGUCAUUGUCUUGGAGACUCCUCGUUGCGUUCUACAGGAUGUCUGGAGUAAAAAUUAUUCCUUUGAAAGCAAUGGAUGAAUCAAUGAGACCUUGCCAUGGGGAAGACAAUUUUAACUGCUAAGGAGCAGAGUGGGUUGUACUUUUUAGAGUUUGAUGAGCAAAGAAACACGAAAAUCAUGAGUCAACAAGUAACAUCUGAGACGUGGGCAAAAUCCCAAAUAUGGUUACAUCAUCAAAGGCUUGGACAUCCUUCAUUCAGUUUUAUCAAGUCCUUAUUUCCCCACUUGUUUACCAAAGAAUCUGUUGAGUCUUUUAAUUGUGAUAUUUGUCAAUUUUCAAAACACCAUCGUGCAUCUUAUCCUAUUAGUCAU